rnacentral:rRNA from 1 species
GACGAACGCUGGCGGCGUGCUUAACACAUGCAAGUCGAACGGAAAGGCCCUGCUUUUGCGGGGUGCUCGAGUGGCGAACGGGUGAGUAACACGUGAGUAACCUGCCCUUGACUUUGGGAUAACUUCAGGAAACUGGGGCUAAUACCGGAUAGGAGCUCCUGCUGCAUGGUGGGGGUUGGAAAGUUUCGGCGGUUGGGGAUGGACUCGCGGCUUAUCAGCUUGUUGGUGGGGUAGUGGCUUACCAAGGCUUUGACGGGUAGCCGGCCUGAGAGGGUGACCGGCCACAUUGGGACUGCGAUACGGCCCAGACUCCUACGGGAGGCAGCAGUGGGGAAUAUUGCACAAUGGGCGGAAGCCUGAUGCAGCAACGCCGCGUGCGGGAUGACGGCCUUCGGGUUGUAAACCGCUUUCGCCUGUGACGAAGCGUGAGUGACGGUAAUGGGUAAAGAAGCACCGGCUAACUACGUG